rnacentral:lncRNA from 1 species
UUGAGAAGUGGAGAGAGAAAGGUGACGGUGGAGUAAAGCUAGCCAUUGUUCGUUGAAAGAUAGAGCCAGCCGUGAGUGACGGUUGGUUCUUCUGUGGAGGAGAAGACGAGAAUAACCAUAGUAUAUGCCCUUCCUCUUGGAUAAGGUAUGCAUUUCUUUUUUUAAUUUUCUUCUAAUUUUUCCCUUUUUCAUUAUUCAUUCCAAUAAUAAUUCUCUCUCUGGGCUUCUUCUUCAGCUUCUUUUGGGUCGCCUCUCUCUUUCUUCCUGCACUCCCCAAUUUUCUUCUUUCACUCCCUCAUUCAAGGUCAGUUUACUGUAUUUCCUAAUUCUUUUCCAUUUUAUGCUUUUCUCUCAAAUUUGUUUCUGAAACAAUCAAGACACUAAAAUCAUAUUUUGAAUAUUUUUUAAUUUAAAGUAUUAUUUUUGUCAUUUUUUUAAUAUUUUCCUUCUGGUCACAUGAUUGGUGAACUGAAAGCUUUGCCGAAAAGAGAUGGUGGAUAAGGGAUGAACUAAUCAUUGCGUGAAUUUCAGAACAUUACCUUCCUCUUUUGCUUUUCACCUAUUUUUUUCUCAGAUAAAAAGGUGGAAAGUUAAUCAACCUUAGCGGAAUCUUAUCAUUAAUAAUAAAUUGAUUUUUUUUAUUGAAAAUUAUUAAAAAUUGCAUUGCGAUGAAAUUGUAUGAAGGACAUUCACUUAUUCAAUAAUGAUAAUAAUAAUUUAAUUCCUCGUAUGAAAUUGUACGAAGAACAUUCUCUUUAAAUUGUUGUCUUGAAAACAUUUAUUAUGUUUAGCCUAAAAGAAUCUGAAUAAAUAAAUAAAUUUCACUUCUAAAAUCAGAAUCUACUUUAAUUCCUCGUAUCAUUCAAAGAAACUCCAGUUUGAACUCUGAAAUUGACAUAUCAACUACUCUAAUCCCUAAUGCUAGUCAAAUGAUUAAUUGACUGCUACCAGUUAAUUCAACCGGUGUUAAAAGAUCCAAUUAGGUAAUGUUCAGAAAAUUCAAGGUUUAACUGACUGUUGUAUGAAAGAUGAAUUUGAUGUUAAGGUGAUUUUCAGUGCUUUAAUUUACUCUUCGUAGAUUUCUUUAUGUCCAUUCUUUUUGCAAUCUUUUCCUUUUAUAAGAUCCAAAUUUUAAUUAAUAUUUUAUUCUCAUAUCAAUGUUUUAAAGUAGAAAAAUAUUUUUUAUUUCUCCAACUCAUCAACUUGAAUUUUAUAAUACACUAUCUGCUAUUUUAUAUAGAAAUAUUGUUAAACUAUAAAAUGACAGGAAUUGAUUUGAUGAUGAUUUGGUCUAAAAAUAACUGAACAUUCAAUAACUAAAAAAUGAGCAUUAAAACCAGAACUGACCGCUGAUGGUAAUCAGAGAUACAAACUGACCCAUCUGAGACGGAUUAAGCAUCCAAAAUUCGAAGAGCUUCCAGCCCCAAUCGCUUGCAGCAUAUAUGAAUAGACCAUUCCACUGUGCUUGAACUCGAGAACUGGUUUACAACACACAUUGUUUUCUUGUUCAACAAUUGCCCCCGAAACAUUGUAGAAUCUCAUUCAGAUAUUAAAAUGCCAAAUUUUACAAUCGAUGGAAUUACAAUAAUACGAAAGAUAGUUAAAGUUGUGUAACAAGAUCAUUCCAGAAUUAAGAAGCCACUAAUUUUUGCAUCUUUUACAACAUAUCAUGGUUCAAAGCCAUCACUCCGGACCAAUUAUUUCAAUCUGUUCUGUACAUGUAUGAGACCAUUGAAAAUAAAAGGAACAUAAAACGGACUAAAAUGUAAACAUUUUAUUUUAAUUGACAAAUGCUCUACCGAAUCAGAGAUAAAUAAAACACUACUUACCACUUACUUACUAGUUACUAGCUAAGUGCUAAGCUCUAUGAGUAUGAAGCAAAUUACGAGGCAAAUUUUGGUGUGAUGAAGUGAACAUGAAGAGGAGAACUCCAAUCACUCACUACAAAAAGGAACCGAAGAACAAACUAAAAGGCGUGCGUGAUCAAACUCCUCCUCCUCCACCGGACCGUAACUCCUCCAUCGCAGCCUUGAUCUGAUCCUGCACCAGCUCCAACCGCUUCGAAUACACUUCUAAUUCCAAUAUCUGUUGCUUCCUCCAUUUUUCAUCCACCAAUUCUCCACCACCAUAACUCAAAUUCAUCAAAGGAAUGGGGUUUAAAUUCAAGGAAACUCCUCUCCCACCAAACGCUCCCCCUCCCAUCGCUCCCACCAACUCCCUCACCACCGGCGACAGACAACUCCUCACCGUCUCCUCAAUCAAACUCGGUAUGUUAUUGCUAUAACCACUGUUAUAAUUGUUAUUAGUAGUAGCAGUAGUAGCGGUAGUGUUAGUAGCCGUAGCCGUAGCAGUAGGAGUAGCCGUAGUCGUAGCAUUGCUAGUACAAUUAAGAUCUCUGUUCGACGCGGAUCCAUCGUUUGGCUCGACUUUCACCGCCGAUCGAGGCCGGGAGCGCUUCGGUGUUUUCUUCUCCGUGGAAUUCCUGGAAGUCGUUUCGUUCUUGAGAAUUACGGGGCUAAAAUUAAGGUUAGGGUGGGGGAUGAUAGGGUUAGGGUUGGGGCAAGGGUUGAUUUCGUCGUCGUCCAAGGAAUUUUCGCCGACUGGAGCCACGCUGCUCCAGAUCUUGCGAGAGAUUUCGAAGGUGGCUUGAUCGUGUGCGCUCUUGAAGGAGAAUUCCUUGCCGGAGCCAAUCUUGUUGAGGACGUUUCGGUACUUCUUCUUCAGCCUUCGGAUCUUCUCCACCAGCUGGUUCUUGUUGAAAUCGAGUUGGAGUUUUGACUUGAUUUGGUCAUAGAACAGAGCGGUGUCGUUGUGGUGAGAGGAUCCUCUCUGAGAGGUGUAGUCCAGGAACCCUUGAAGGAGCUCGAUCUCGUCCUCGUCGGUCCACAGGCGCUGGAACAGCCGCCGCGAGUCGUCCAGCGGCGGCGGAGGCUUCUUUUCCUCGAUUGGCUCCAGGCGCCGCCGCUUCGGAUCGGAGGAGUCACCGAUGACGAUGGUGGUGGCGGUGGGCGUGGAUAGUGGCGUGCCUCCACCGUUUGAGAUGGCGGAACCGGGGACGGCGACGGUGACGGCGAGAGCGGUGGAGGGAGAGGACUCGUUUUCUUCAUCGUCGGCUGCCAAAACGUCGUCCUCUUCUUCGAACUCUUCGUCCUCCUGGGACUCGUCGUCGUCGUCCAUGUCUUCUUCGCGGAAAACGGCAUCGUGUUGUUGAGAUGCCAUUGAUAGAAAGGAGAGAGAGAGUGAGAGGUUUGGUCAGUGGUUAGGCCAAGAAGAGUGGGCUGAGUCACGGGUUUUGGUUUCUUGUUGAACUCACUUGCUCACGCAUUCACCCAUGGUUUGGUUUGGUUUGGUGAUGGUAAAAGGAAUCCGAAGGGUGGUUUUGGUUUUUAGUUUAGUUUAGGUAGCCUAGUGGACCAAGUGACCAACCAAACCUCCUGCAUCAUUUUUCUAUUCCCUAUUUUCAUUUUACAAGGAAUGUACUUUCUUCUUUUUUCCACAAACGCAACCCGAUUCAUUCCUUUUUCUAUUAUUCAUUUCGUUUAAAUAAUUACAAAACCUUGACAAUACUCCAUACUUAUUAUUUUAAUUUAAGAACUUAAUAUUUAUAUAACAUUUUAUUAUAUAAUAUUUUAUCAUUUCUAAUAUUAAUGGAAUGAGAGUAAGUAUGGAAGUAAAAAAUUAAUUUGAAAUAAAUAACUAGUUAAGAAGAACAAAAUAUGCAUUGCAAAUGUUCAGAAAACGAGAAAUAUGUUGGUUCUAACAAUGAGACCGUAUAUUCAAUAAAAUAGUCUUUUUAACAUUUCCCAGACUUUUAGGAAGAAAAGGUUUCUUUUGAAUGAAAACAAAAUAAAUAACUUAGUUAUAUAUAGACAGUAUUCUAAUUAAGAAAAUUAUUGACAAAAAUUUCACUGAUACUUGUUUUAUUACUUUUUGAAAGAUGAAUGUGCGCACUACAGAGAGAGAUCCUAAGCAUUACGAUACAACAAUUAUCUUGUUAAACCUAAUUAUAACUUCCAAUAAGUUUAUUUGUAUAAAAUGUUUAAUUAAAAGCUAAUCCUAUCUUAAAUUUAUGAAUGACGUUUUUUUUUUAAAUAUUACUUUUAUGUUCAUAAAAAUUUAUCAUGAGACGGCAUGGUAUAAUGUGUUUCUUUAAUCAAUAACCUUGUAGUUGAAACCUCAAUUACUAACCAAACAUGUUACAUUUGUAUUCCUACUACUGUUUUGUUUUCAUGUUUUCAUUUCAUCAUACUGUUUUGUUUUCAUGUUUUCAUUUCAUCAUACGGAAACAAAUUUGUGCAUCGUGAGGGCACAUUAUAGAAUCAUAAAUAUUUCAUUUUAGUUGUAUAUUAUAUUUUAAAAAUAUACACAUACAGAUAGUUGAAUGACCUUAUAUAACAGUAAAAAAUGAAACUUGUAUUUAUCUUAAACACGUUUUUUUUCAUUCUAAACUAUUCCAUGACAGAUUAAAAGAAACAUUUAACACUCAACAAUCUUGUUUUUUUUUCAUUCUAAACUAUUCCAUGACAGAUUAAAAAGAAACAUUUAACAAUCAACAAUCUUGGACGUUCAUAAAUUAUAAAUAAAAUUUAAUCGAAUUUGGUUUAAAAUAUUAUGAAAAUGAAUUAUACUGAGCAUGUAAUACAAUAGUCUUUACAAUAAUUUUUAUUUUGGCAGAUAAAAAUCCAAUAUAAUUGGACCGAAUCGCUCAACGAUAAAAUUUAUCCAAUAAAGUUGGUUGUCACAAAUAAGCUGACGACUACUUUAACAAGUUAUGAAGGAGCUAUUUCUUGUAUACAUCUAGCUAAAUAGGUUUGGUCCUAGUAACACCAUUCCUAUCUUCCAUAAAUUCGUAAAUAUAUAUUUUUUCUUAUUACUGUUUUACUAUUUCAAAUAUAAGAUCUAUUCCUGCUAAUAUAUCACACAAUGAUUUUCUUAUAUAACAUGUAGACUAUUCCUGCAAAAAUUAGUUCCAUUAACAUCUUUCAGUUCGUACAAAAAACUUGGAGUAUAUUCGAUACGAAUAAAU